rnacentral:rRNA from 1 species
UACGAAGGGGGCUAGCGUUGCUCGGAAUCACUGGGCGUAAAGCGCACGUAGGCGGACUCUUAAGUCGGUGGUGAAAUCCUGGAGCUCAACUCCAGAACUGCCUUCGAUACUGGGAGUCUUGAGUUCGGGAGAGGUGAGUGGAACUGCGAGUGUAGAGGUGGAAUUCGUAGAUAUUCGCAAGAACACCAGUGGCGAAGGCGGCUCACUGGCCCGAUACUGACGCUGAGGUGCGAAAGCGUGGGGAGCAAACAGG